rnacentral:rRNA from 1 species
CCGGCGACCGGCGGACGGGUGCGUAACGCGUAUGUAACCUACCUUUGACAGGGGGAUAACAUCGAGAAAUUGGUACUAAUACCCCAUAACAUCACCGGAGGCAUCUUCGGUUGGUUGAAAACUCAGGUGGUCAGAGAUGGACAUGCGUUGUAUUAGCUAGUUGGUGAGGUAACGGCUCACCAAGGCGACGAUACAUAGGGGGACUGAGAGGUCAACCCCCCACAUUGGUACUGAGACACGGACCAAACUCCUACGGAAGGCAGCAG